GCAGAGCAAAGGACCUUGCAACGUAUGGAAGCGCCGAAAAUAAUCUGGUCAUUUUGGGAUAGCUGUCGGACCACUAAGGUGAUUAUAUUGUCUUAAUUAUUAUCUCUCUCUCUUUUUCUCUCUCCUUUUCUAUUUGUCUGUCUCUCCCUCCCUUUCUAGCUGUCUAUCUCUCUCCCUUUCUUUCUCUCCUCUCUCUCCUAAUUUCUAUCUAUCUAACUGAUACUCUUUCCCAAACAUAUUUUUCCUUUCUGAUAUAUACAUGAAGGAGCAUCUUCGCACAUGUUCGUGUGUCUGUGUGUGUGAUGUGUGUGUGAUGUGUGUGCGUGUGUGUGUGUAUGUGUACAUGUGUGUAUGUGUGUGUGUGUGUGUGUGUGUCAUGUGUGCAUGUGUUUGUGUAUGCAUGUGUCGGGGGAGAUGCGUGCGUGCGCCUGUGUGCAUUUUGAUGUAAUCUUUUUGCUGUUUUAGGAACCUCAGCCUCUUUCUGUCCCCUCCGCUCUCUAUCCCUGUUUCUUCAUAUCUCUCUUUCUCUCUCUCUCUCCCUCCCUCUCCCUCCCUCUCUCUCUCUCUCUCUCUUGCUCGCUCUGUGUGUGUGUGUGAGUGUGUGUUUGUGUGUGUGAAGACAACAAUGGUGUACUGCUUACAAAUCUAUCUCGGUGGUGCUGCUUGUCACUCUAGACGACAUCCAGACAAGAGCAGCUAGACUAAUUGGAAUUCAAUCACUGACGAUACACUCUAGUCUCUGGCCCACGGCGUACUGUCUUCCCUGUCUAUCUUUUCCAUUGCAACUGUAAUGGUCUCUGAUCAUCGAAGCUACAUGGUCUCAUACCACCACAAAUCAAGUACACCCGUAACAACUCCUUUUCCUCCUUUCGUCACCUUUGGUACGUCUACCUCACCCUUGGACUCAAGUAACCCUUCUGUCCAAUGCUUUCUCCCUAGAACAACGGUCCACUGGAAUAUACUCUCUGCCUAUACCGUUCCUGUCGGUGUUUACCUGCAAAAGUGUAAAGGGAACAUUAAUAGCAUCCAGCUGAUCAGUCUUCGAAGUUCUGUAAAGAUAAUUACCGAAUGCUCUUCCUCCAUACUAAAGAAGUAACAUCUAUACUUUUACAUAUAUAUUUUUUACACACACACACACACACACACACACAUACACCAAGAGACACACACAAAAAUACACAGCCUUCCACCCAGUAUAUAUAUAUAUAUAUAUAUAUAUAUAUAUAUAUAUAGAUAUAUAUAUAUAUAUAUAUAUAGAUAGAUAGAUAGAUAGAUAGAUAGAUAGAUAGAUAGAUAGAUAGAUAGAUAGAUAUAGAUAGAUAGAUAGAUAUGCAUGUAUGUAGGUAUAAAUGCAUGUAUGCAUGUACGUACGUAUGUAUGUGUGUGUGUGUGUGUGUGUGUGUGUGUGUGUAUAUAUAUAUAUAUAUAUAUAUAUAUAUAUACUUUAUUUAAAAGCAGCAGAAAUUCAACAAAACCUGUUACUCGGAGUUUCACGUUCCCGUUCGUCGGACAGUUUUGUUAAAAACUGUCCGACGAACAGGAACGUGAAACUCCGAGUAACAGGUUUUGUUGAAUUUCUGCUGCUUUUAAAUAAAGCAUAUUACCCUACCCCUGGUAUUUGAGUACUCUUUUUUCCACCUUGUUUCACAUUUAUGUGUUUACUCCGGUAUAUAUAUAUAUAUAUAUAUAUAGAUAUAUAUAUAUAUCAUUGGACAUACAGUUAAACGAUUUCUGAGGUUACAUACAAAUUGUGCACAGAGAAGUGUACGCCGCAAAAAGGAAAAGGAAACGAAUUAGACUGCCGUUUCGGGGUAUCUCUUUGUCAGAGAAGAGUAUUAAAAGAAAUAAACCAGAUAAAGGAAACAAGAAAAGAAACGGUACAUGUUUAAUGCAUGUGUGUUUCUUUCAACGACAUGCUCUCUAUGAAUGCAUACAUACAUAUAUAUAUAUAUAUAUAUAUAUAUAAAUAAAUGAAAGAAUGGAGUUGAAUACUAGGAUAAUUCAUUCAACUACUUAAAUAUAUAUAUAUAUAUAUAUAUAUAUAUAUAUAUAUAUAUACAAAAUAAGAAAAUGGAGAAAUACAUCUGGAGAAAAUGGAGAAAUCAAUUAUCAACUACCAGAUAAUACCCAAUCACAUAAUUUACUAAACCACUACAUAUGAACAUUAAGGUCAAACAUAUUAAUAUAGAACAAAACAGUGUACAUGAAGGUAAUAUGGUACAAUAAGUACAGUAUGUAUAAGAGAAUAUAAAAAUAUAAAUAUAAAUAUAAACAGCUGUAAGAUGUAGUUUAUAUUUAUAUUUAUAUUUUUAUAUUCUCAUAUACAUACUGUACUUAUUGUACCAUUUUACUCUUUCAUGUACACUGUUUUGUGCUAUAUUAAUAUGUUUGACCUUAAUGUUCAUAUGUAGUGGUUUAAUAAAUUAUGUGAUUGGGUAUUAUCUGGUAGUUGAUAAUUGAUUUAGAUGCAUUUCUCCAUUUUCUGAUUUUGUAUUAUUAA
rnacentral:lncRNA from 1 species